UACAGAGACUGCAAGCGUUAUUCGGAUUCACUGGGCGUAAAGGGUGCGCAGGCGGUUGGGUGGCUCAGAUGUGAAAUCCCGAGGCUUAACCUCGGAACUGCGUCUGAAACUACUCGACUAGAGUACUGGAGAGGGAAACGGAAUUCACGGUGUAGCAGUGAAAUGCGUAGAUAUCGUGAGGAACACCAGAGGCGAAGGCGGUUUCCUGGACAGUUACUGACGCUCAGGCACGAAAGCAUGGGGAGCAAAAGGG
rnacentral:rRNA from 1 species